GUCCCAUAACGAGCGCAACCCUCAUCUAUUAGUUGCCAGCGGGUAAUGCCGGGGUACUCUAAUGAAACUGCCGGUGUAAACCGAGCAGGAAGGUGGGGAUGACGUCAAGUCAGCACGGCCCUUAUGUCCAGGGCUACACACCGUGUUACAAUGGUCGGUACAAAGGGCAGCUACCUGGUGACAGGAUGCUAAUCUCUAAAACCGGUCUCAGUUCGGAUCGAAGUCUGCAACUCGACUUCGUGAAGCUGGAUUCGCUAGUAAUCGCGCAUCAGCCCACGGCGCGGUGAAUACGUUCCCGGGCCUUGUACACACCGCCCGUCNAGCCAU
rnacentral:rRNA from 1 species